AGAGCACCUAAGCUGUCUGUCAUAGCAGCAGUUUAAACGGACAUGCUAAUAGCAGCGGAUCUUGUCGCCUCUGGGGACUGUGGCUGGCCCCUCAAAGUGAACUGGGGAGAUCUACAGCC